GAUGAAGAACGUAGCGAAAUGCGAUACUUGGUGUGAAUUGCAGAAUCCCGUGAACCAUCGAGUCUUUGAACGCAAGUUGCGCCCGAAGCCAUCAGGUUGAGGGCACGUCUGCCUGGGCGUCACAUAUCGUUGCCCAAUGCCUAUUGCAGUGCAAUAGGAAUUUCUAGGGCGAAUGAUGGCUUCCCGUGAGCGUUGUUGCCUCGCGGUUGGUUGAAAAUCGAGUCCUUGGUAGGGUGUGCCAUGGUAGAUGGUGGUCGAGUUAGAACGAUACCGAUCAUGUGCAUGCUCCCCAAAAUAUGGCCUCUAUGACCCACACGCGUCUUUUGACGCUCAUGACGAGACCUCAGGUCAGGCGGGGCUACCCGCUGAAUUUAAGCAUAUCAAUAAGCGGAAGA
rnacentral:misc_RNA from 1 species